GACGAACGCUGGCGGCGUGCCUAAUACAUGCAAGUAGAACGCACAGUUUAUACCGUAGCUUGCUACACCAUAGACUGUGAGUUGCGAACGGGUGAGUAACGCGUAGGUAACCUGCCUGGUAGCGGGGGAUAACUAUUGGAAACGAUAGCUAAUACCGCAUAAUAUUAAUUAUUGCAUGAUAAUUAAUUGAAAGGUGCAAUUGCACCACUACCAGAUGGACCUGCGUUGUAUUAGCUAGUAGGUGAGGUAACGGCUCACCUAGGCGACGAUACAUAGCCGACCUGAGAGGGUGAUCGGCCACAGUGGGACUGAGACACGGCCCAGACUCCUAAGGGAGGCAGCAGUAGGGAAUCUUCGGCAAUGGACGAAAGUCUGACCGAGCAACGCCGCGGGAGUGAAGAAGGUUUUCGGAUCGUAAAGCUCUGUUGUAAGAGAAGAACGGGUGUGAGAGUGGAAAGUUCACACUGUGACGGUAUCUUACCAGAAAGGGACGGCUAACUACGUG
rnacentral:rRNA from 1 species